AGAUCGCUGAUUCCCGUAUAACACCAUAUAUAAACAAAAAAUGGUUAUAAGCAAGGUUGAUGAAACAAUUCUUAUGUGCGUUAAGGAAGAUACUGACCCACCAAUUUGUGAAAUGGUGAUGUUUUUGGAGCGUUAUACUUACUCUAUUCUGAUCACAACUUUCUUGAAGUUCGUCACAACCCAUCUCUCGACUCGUUCGAUUUUUAAGAAGAUACUGAAAAAUAAAUUUGUUUAGUUUUAUUGUAUUCUCAUUCCCCCUCGUGUUAUACUUACGUAUUGGUUUUGUAAGAAAAGGAGUUCAUUUUGCAUCAGUUUCAUCUUUCGUUGAAAAUAUAUUGUAAAGUUGUGGUCAUCAUUCGUGCUGCCUGGAUAAAAAUAUAUAUUAACCUUAAGGAAUAUUUGGGGUAGAUUGUUGAAGAUUUGGGUGUCAGCCCAAUCAAAAUAAAAUUUUCUACAAAACAGA